rnacentral:rRNA from 1 species
CCUACGGGAGGCAGCAGUGGGGAACAUUGGACAAUGGGCGUAAGCCUGAUCCAGCCAUGCCGCGUGUGUGAAGAAGGCCUUUUGGUUGUAAAGCACUUUUGUGCGGGAAGAUAAUGACGGUACCUAAUCAGAAAGCCACGGCUAACUCCGUGCCAGCAGCCGCGGU